AGUCGAGGGGUAUGGUAGCAAUACCAGAGACCGGCGCACGGGUGCGUAACGCGUAUGCAAUCUACCUUUUACAGAGGGAUAGCCCAGAGAAAUUUGGAUUAAUACCUCAUAGUAUUACGACCCGGCAUCGGGAUGUAAUUAAAGUCACAACGGUAAAAGAUGAGCAUGCGUCCCAUUAGCUAGAUGGUAAGGUAACGGCUUACCAUGGCAACGAUGGGUAGGGGUCCUGAGAGGGAGAUCCCCCACACUGGUACUGAGACACGGACCAGACUCCUACGGGAGGCAGCAGUGAGGAAUAUUGGACAAUGGGCGCAAGCCUGAUCCAGCCAUGCCGCGUGCAGGAUGACGGUCCUAUGGAUUGUAAACUGCUUUUGCACAGGAAGAAACAACGCUACGUGUAGCGUCUUGACGGUACUGUGAGAAUAAGGAUCGGCUAACUCCGUGCCAGCAGCCGCGGUAAUACGGAGGAUCCAAGCGUUAUCCGGAAUCAUUGGGUUUAAAGGGUCCGUAGGCGGUUUGGUAAGUCAGUGGUGAAAGCCCAUCGCUCAACGGUGGAACGGCCAUUGAUACUGCCAGACUUGAAUUAUUAGGAAGUAACUAGAAUAUGUAGUGUAGCGGUGAAAUGCUUAGAGAUUACAUGGAAUACCAAUUGCGAAGGCAGGUUACUACUAAUGGAUUGACGCUGAUGGACGAAAGCGUGGGUAGCGAACAGGAUUAGAUACCCUGGUAGUCCACGCCGUAAACGAUGGAUACUAGCUGUUGGGAGCAAUCUCAGUGGCUAAGCGAAAGUGAUAAGUAUCCCACCUGGGGAGUACGUUUCGCA
rnacentral:rRNA from 1 species